CAACAGGGUGUACACACUUUCAAUGAAGACCAGAGUGGAUACUGCAAGGAAUCAAAGUGAAAUAUCGCUCCUUCACUAAAAGGAAAUUGGAUCUACAAGAAAAUGGGUGGAGAUGUAUCAAAAGAGAGAGCGGAUCAUGCUGAAAGAGACCUUCAGAAAACCAUAAAGGAAAAAGAAAGAAUUGAGGAAGAAAAGAGAAAGCGUGAAGAAGACUACAAGAAACUCCUUGCUGAGAAAGUCAAACUUGAAACAACACAGAAGAUGGAGGAACAACGACGGGAGCAAGAGAAGCAGAGACAAAAAAAUUCUUGAACACGACAGAGAACAAGAGAAAGCCGAAAGGAUAAGGAUUCAUCAAGAAAAGAAUAAUGCCAAGUCCUAAACCUGUAGGAUGAAGAGACAUUGGUUUAAAUGUUUGAUUAUCAACAAAAAGAUUUGAUGGAUACAGUACACAGUUAUUCUAAAAUUAAUAUUAACAAAUGUACUAGCUGUUUUAUUUUUCAAAAAGAAAUGUUGCAUUGUUUCAAUAACAAAAAAGAAAAACUGGUUUUAUAACCCUGUUUUUUGUUUACCAACCAAAUGUAGUCUGAUAGUGUCAUGUUUGUUUUUUGCCAUGAGUACUGUACUGUAGCCUACUCUCCAGCAUUGCAAUAAAUAUCUUCUAUUGAUGUUCAAUCUUA